CAAUAGCGUAUUUUAAAGUUGCUGCAGUUAAAAAGCUCGUAGUUGGAUUUUGGGACGGUUUCACUGGUCUGCCGUUUGGUUUGUACCGGCGCGGCCGUCCUUCCGUCUGACGAACAUUUCUGCGCUUGAUUGUGUGGGGAUGGGACUCAGACCGUUUACUUUGAGAAAAUUAGAGUGUUCCACGCAGGCUUGUGCGCAUGAAUAGAUUAGCAUUGAAUAAUGAAAUAGGACUUUGGUUCUAUUUUGUUGGUUUCUAGGACCGAAGUAAUGAUUAAUAGGGACAGUUGGGGGCAUUGGUAUGCCGUGGCCAGAGGUGAAAUUCUUGGACUCUCGGCCGACUAACUUCUGCGAAAGCAUUUGCCCAGGAUGUUUUCAUUAA
rnacentral:rRNA from 1 species